GAUGAACGCUGGCGGCGUGCUUAACACAUGCAAGUCGAACGGGAUCCCAGGAGCUUGCUCCUGGGUGAGAGUGGCGAACGGGUGAGUAAUGCGUGACCGACCUGCCCCAUACACCGGAAUAGCUCCUGGAAACGGGUGGUAAUGCCGGAUGCUCCAGUUGACCGCAUGGUCCUCUGGGAAAGCUUUUGCGGUAUGGGAUGGGGUCGCGUCCUAUCAGCUUGAUGGCGGGGUAACGGCCCACCAUGGCUUCGACGGGUAGCCGGCCUGAGAGGGCGACCGGCCACAUUGGGACUGAGAUACGGCCCAGACUCCUACGGGAGGCAGCAGUGGGGAAUAUUGCACAAUGGGCGCAAGCCUGAUGCAGCGACGCCGCGUGCGGGAUGACGGCCUUCGGGUUGUAAACCGCUUUUGACUGGGAGCAAGCCCUUCGGGGUGAGUGUACCU
rnacentral:rRNA from 1 species